CAUCAUAUAAAGCUAUUCUUAAAAUAUUUACAAAAUCUCAAAUGAAAUCAUUGGUCGGAUUCUGGCCUACGGAGCAGGCUGUAUUACAGCCGGCAUGAGAGAAAGACGGGCAAUGACCGUUUCGGUCAUUCAUCGCCUGGGGUCAUUCCAUUUAAUACCCACUGUGACGAGAUUUUCUAAAGGGGUCUGAAAUUCUGAAUUCUAAGGGGGUGCCAAAUUGAGAAUUCUGAGGGGAGUCGUGAAUGAAGAAUUUCUUGAAGGGGUACUACCUUUUGACGAAAAUUUCAAUUUUUCAAUUCUGUCAUUUUUUCUAAUAUUUCUACUUUUUUUUUUAAAUUGCUGAAGUGGGUAAAAAAAUUUCCGAGGGAAUUUUUUUAUAUUAAAUGUAGGUAUUAAAUGGAAUGGCCUCUGCCACGCUGGAUAGUUGGAGAUUUAUACUACAGUGUAGAGCCAGAUGAUCUGUCAGGUCUGAGUGUGUGUCCAUGGAAUUUUUGCUAUGAUGUCUACGAUUGUAGUUUAGCUUGAUUGGCGAUCCAUCUGAUGUGUAUAAAUACAGUAUUGGACAAGCCAUUAAAGAAAUAUCAGCUAUGAUUUGCUCCCAGAUCCAUUGCCAAAAUUUGUCUAUAAUGCGUGCGGAUAGUAUGUCUUGUGUUGACACUGUAACGGAUAAUCCUGCAGACGGAUGAUGCAUUUUGAGGAAUAGAUCUCCUGUACAAACUGGGCUAAUUUCAAACACAUAUGACC